UGAGAUGAGUCCAUCCCUAUGAAGAGCUGC
rnacentral:piRNA from 1 species